rnacentral:lncRNA from 1 species
AGUUAACAUUUUUUUAAAUUCCUAUGUUAUAAUAGCUGAAAAUUGUGAUGGAAUACUAAUAUGUGCAGCAAGGAUAAAAUUUUAUUUAAUUAUGCCUAUGAGUUUCACAAAACAUAUUCUCAAGCUUGGAUAAAAAAAGAGAGUUGUGGCUGAUUUAAAAAAAAGAUAAAGGAAGAGAGUUGCGAAGAUUGAUAACUAGUAAAAAUAUAGUCUCGAGUAUGAUGAACUCUGAUUAUGGAUACAGAAGCUUCAUAUAUUCAAGCUUAACUAGUUUAUGAAUGAGGGGCAGUUGGUAGAUCAAUUGAUUGAUUUAGAUAAAUAAUUGCAAAGAACCUGAGUUUUAUAUUGCGAGCAUUGCUUGCUUGGCUCUGCAUUUUCUUCAACUUCGAUUCUGUCUGUGAUUACUUUGUUUCCUCCAAUUUCUAUUCCUUUGGCACUCUUUCAUUCUUUUCAUCCCCCUUGUUGUAGGUUCAAAUAUACUUGUAUGUAAACAAAAGCUAGAAGCAGUGACUUGGACCAGUUGAACAUUCAUUGUUGUUUAUGCUUUGGCCUUCAAGACAUUGGACUGCAUCAUUAAGGUCCUUGCUGAUUUGACUGCUUUCUAAUAUUACUACUACUACUACUACAGUGUGUUACCUUUACAUUGGACUGCAUCAUUAAGGUCUGUGCUGAUUUGACUGCUCUCUAAUAGUACUACUACAGUGUGUUUUGAUCUUAAGAUAAUAGUUCACUGAAAAGCACUAAUCAGGAAUCAGUAGAAACAUUUGUAAUUAAAGAAGUUUGCUUUCAUACCCAUUGGACAACUCUAAUCUCACUUCUUUUGAUGGUUCCUCUUUUCUUUUUUCCUGAUAUCCAUAAAUUUCAUUUUUCUCGAAUGCUGGAAAUUUGGCAAUUAUUUUUGAAUGAUCC